rnacentral:lncRNA from 1 species
GCACAGGCCCCAGUCCAAGUCCCAACUCCUGCUCAAAUCCAAACACUGGAAGUGGUUACAUGAACUCCCAGCAGUCCCUGUUGAAUCAGCAGAUGAUGGGGAAGAAACAGACCCUGCAGAGGCCAACCAUGGAGCAGAAGCAGCAACUUCUCCUCCAGCAGCAGAUGCUGGCUGACGCGGAGAAACUUUCCCCUCAGGAUCAGAUGAACCGACAUCUGACAAGACCGCCCCCAGACUACAAAGACCAAAGAAGAAAUGCGGGCAGCCUGCAGCCAGCUGCUCAGUAUUCUGGUGGCCCCUCUUCCGUGAGUUUAAACUCUAACCAGGCGUUGACAAACCCAGUCUCAACACACACCAUUUUAACUUCGAACUCCAGCCUCAUGUCUACAUCUCAUGGCAUGAGAAUGCCAUUGCUAUCCACAGUUCAGAACAUAGGGAUGUAUGGAAACCUGCCUUGUAACCAGCCUGGCACCUACAGUGUCACUUCAGCAAUGAACCAGCUGACCCAACAGAGAAAUACAACUCAACUGAUAACAAAUCAGAACAACCCUCUGAUGCCACGGCCACCUCCCUUGGGGGCAAGUACCGGUAACAAUGCGGCCGC